ensembl:lncRNA
GUCGAUUCGAGGCGGCACCUCCUUCCGCCCGUCACACCCUCCCCGAGAGAUCUCGGCCCGGCUCCCCUCCUCAGGAGGCCUCGGGCCACGCCCCUGCAGAGCUGGGACCAGGAACUGUGUUUCUGCGGCUGCCGGGGCCCUGCCUUGCCGGAGCCCGCCGCCCGCCGCAUCCUGGGUGACUACUGGCUGAGUCCGCAGCGCCACGGCCCACCCAGCGCCGCCUAGGGGCUGGCCGUCGGCGCGCAGGAUUGAGCUGCUGCCUGGGGCCACCGGCCCGGCCGAUGUGCAGUCGCCGAGCUGGCCCGCUGGCCACGGCGCGCGCCCGCACCUCACUUGGAAGCACCGAUGGCAGAAUAUUAACUACCAGUUCCAGAGCAAGAGGAAGAGACACCUGGUUUUCCUGCGCCCGUGAGAGCCGGAUAGAUCGCAUCAAGGAACAGCUUGCAGCCCCAGAGCAGGAGUGAUUCCAGCCCAAGACAUAGUGGUCAAGAUGAAUGACAGAAGGGAAGGAAAGCUGCCCUGGCAUCAUCCUGUGUGUUCCUGUGUUCGUCACAUCUCUGUGCGUUUCUUUUUCUUUUGUGUUUGUUUUUUUUUGGUUUUUUGAGACAGAGUUUCGCCAUGUAGUGCAAGCUGGCCUUGAACUCACUAUGUGACUCAGGCUGGCCUCGAAACUCGCAGCAAUCCUCCUGCCUCAGCCUCCCGAGUCCUGGGAUUACAGGCAUGCACCACCAUGCCUGGCCUCUGUGCAUUUCUGGUCAGAAACACCCUUUGAAGCACUCUCUGUGUGUCCUCUGAUCUGUGUUGUUCAACAAAUAGUUAUCAAGGUCCUGUUUUAGUGGCUUAUGCCAGGUUUAUACACUGAGUUAACAGCUAGGUUCACAUCAGUGAAACAAACCAUUGAGGUCCUUGCACCUCUGGUGGGGAGACAGGCCAUAAAAAGGGGUCAAAAGGGCCGGGGAUUUAGCUCAGUGGUUCCGCCUCUUGCCUCAAAAGCAAGUUUGAUCCCCGGUACCAAAAAGGGGUCAAAGAUGAAUGGCCUGUUGUGUUGGAGAACAGGACUGGGUCAGGUGCUACUGCACAUGGGAUGAGCAGCGACUGUCUCUGGUCACAGUCUACAACAGUGCCUGACAUGUAGUGGGUCAGUACUGCGGACCGAGAGCACAGGUUGGUCAGGAGGUCCUUUCUUAGAGGUGCAACUUAAACCAGGCUUGGAGGAUGCAAGGCCAGCCAUUUCCAGCCUCUGGGUGGAGGGAACAGUAUACAUCUGGCUAGUUUUGCUGCCCUGUGGAAUCCGUGUUGCCAUGUCUCUGUCUGCCUGUUGUCUCUGUGGUCUAGGGAGCCCUGGGGCAAGUCUAAUUAAGUUCCAGAGUCCCUGGAAGUGAAGUCAUUGCUGAGCUCCGUUCAUUCACUGCAUGACCAAAUCUGGCCUUACGAGCUGGGCCCCACCAUUUCCCUGGAUGCAGCCCCUCCCCCGACAGCAUCAGUCCCAUGACCUCUGGCUCCUUCCCAGGGCAGCACCCUGCUGUUAGGAAGGAAGUCCUUCCCUCCUGUCUAACCACAGUCCCCACUGAGGCAACCCCAGACCUUUCCUCUCAUUCUGCCAUGUGGGAAGUGGGGAGGAAAUGUGCUGACUGUGGGAGCUGGCUCUGCCUGACAGAGUCUGGUAGACCCAACACCAGGAGGGUGACAACCCCUGGCAACCCUAGGGAGGCGAACCUCAAAGGACAGAGACAAUUGCUCAUUUUAGGAGCCUCUGUCAUAUCCGUUAUCUCAUCUAAUCCAUCAACACCCCACUUUAUGGACAGAAACUCAGGCAGGUGCAGAGAUGAAAACAGUGGCAGAACUGGAACCAGAACCCAGUUGUCUUGGUAAAACAGUAAUGAUAUAACUAACAUUUAUGUUAUCCUUACUCUCUUCAGGUACUGUGCUAGAACUUCGUGUACAUUUUGUCCUUCUUCUUCCUCAUCUCUUUCUCCUCUUUCUUCUUCUGGUUUUUGUUUUUGUUGUUUAUUUGUUUUCAGACAGGGUCUUCGUUUGCAGUGCAGAUGACCUUGAACUCACUAUGUAGCCCAGGCUGGUUCUGAACUGUGGCAGUCCUCCUGCCUUAACCUCCCAAGUGCUGGGAUAAUAGGGAUUUGGGGACACAGGCUUCAGGCUUUUUGCAUGAUGAUCCCGAAGCAGACUUGCACCAUGCCAAGGAUGAGCUGGAAGGAGUGCUGAACAAUUCAGUGCCCCCUGUCUUCAGAUUAUCUGCCUUAUCUCCCUCUUGGGGUCUCUGAGAUCCUGCCCUUCACACUCCAAAUAAAUGAGCUUCUGCCUCUCUGGG